UACGUAGGGGGCAAGCGUUGUCCGGAAUCAUUGGGCGUAAAGAGCGUGUAGGCGGCUCGGUAAGUCCGCUCUGAAAGCCCGGGGCUCAACCCCGGGAGGCGGGCGGAUACUGUCGGGCUAGAGUCCGGAAGAGGCGAGUGGAAUUCCUGGUGUAGCGGUGAAAUGUGCAGAUAUCAGGAGGAACACCAAUGGCGAAGGCAGCUCGCUGGGACGGUACUGACGCUGAGACGCGAAAGCGUGGGGAGCAAACAGG
rnacentral:rRNA from 1 species